rnacentral:rRNA from 1 species
AUGCGUGCGGGAAUCGCCAGUGGAAUGGGAGAAGAGGUGGGUCGGGGCAUGACCGGCGGAGGUCUGCUUGUAGACGGGGCACAUGCCCUUGUUUUUGUGGCUUGCAUCCGGGCAGCACUUCAGGUCUUCAGCCAUUGCCUCGUACUACGGUUAGCAGAUUUUGACGGCAGCGGCGACAUCAAGAGGAGAGCGACUAUUCUUUUAGUGGAUCUGGAAGAGGAAGAGUCCGGGGCGGAUACGAAGGAGAAGGGGCUUGGAGGGUCGCGAGACGAACUCAAGGCUUGCAUGGCCGAUCUUGUGCGGCUCGGGGAAACGACAGGCGAUGGAGGCAGCUCGUCCGCGUGGACGUGGCCGGCAGCGGAGCAGGCGGGGCAUGAAGGACGGAUCCAUCUCGGAGUGGCGCGACGGCUGGGCAAAUCAGGAUCCGGCGCCGAGCCCCUGAUCCAUGUCGUCCUUGAAGAGAGAGAGAGAGAGAGAGAGAGAGGAGAGGGGGAUGAGCUCCGACGAGAUAAGUAA